rnacentral:rRNA from 1 species
AUUGAACGCUGGCGGCAGGCCUAACACAUGCAAGUCGAGCGGUAACACAGGGAGCUUGCUCCUGGGUGACGAGCGGCGGACGGGUGAGUAAUGUCUGGGAAACUGCCUGAUGGAGGGGGAUAACUACUGGAAACGGUAGCUAAUACCGCAUAACGUCGCAAGACCAAAGAGGGGGACCUUCGGGCCUCUUGCCAUCAGAUGUGCCCAGAUGGGAUUAGCUAGUAGGUGGGGUAACGGCUCACCUAGGCGACGAUCCCUAGCUGGUCUGAGAGGAUGACCAGCCACACUGGAACUGGGACACGGUCCAGACUCCUACGGGAGGCAGCAGUGGGGAAUAUUGCACAAUGGGCGCAAGCCUGAUGCAGCCAUGCCGCGUGUAUGAAGAAGGCCUUCGGGUUGUAAAGUACUUUCAGCGGGGAGGAAGGCGACAAGGUUAAUAACCUUGUCGAUUGACGUUACCCGCAGAAGAAGCACCGGCUAACUCCGUACCAGCAGCCGCCGUAA